CAGUAACAUGAAAUAUCGUGUCAGUGUUGGAAGGCAUAUCAUUCCUGGUAAUCUUGUGCUCACAAGCCAUCUUGAUUUACCUGGACCCUGACACUUGAUGUCUUGAGCAAGGAUGGCUUCUUUGAGAGUGACCCAGACCUGUAUCAGAAGGUGGCACGAAGCGUGUAUGCUGUGCUGGAGAGGAUGAACGCGCACGCUGGGAAGGUGCACGGGCAAUCGACCGGAGCUUGCUGCAAAUGAUAGCUGUCAGUUUGGCAACUCAGCUGCAAAAUCCUUACAGCUGAAGGCUGGAUGCAUCUGUGUGGUCCUGUUCUUCACCUUAUUCAUCUCGCUGAAGUUGGGCACAGCAUUCGGAAUUGAAUCAUCUCCUGCUGAAAUCACUUAAGGGGUCAAGAUGUCUCGCCCAGGUUGACUCUUAUUCACUUCUCUUGCAUCUUCAACGUGUCGACAAGCUAGAAAACAGAGUCACAGGAAAGGCACAAAAAUAUCUUAUGGCUACUUACUCACCUGGAGACCCGCAGAUUGGCUUCGGCCACCUGGUCGAACCUUUGACCAACAAGGCUGGAGACUUUGAAGGAUAUGGACCCUAGGUGGUCUACAGUGUUGACGAGGGCCUUCACAGCGUACUCCUUCAGGUCUCGUUUGAUGAGGAAGCUGGAUGGGAGUACAGGAUGAUACUAUGGCGAUGGUGGUGCAGAAGUGGGGAAGCACUCAUGGCGAUGAAUUCAACGAGCUGGGAGGAAGAAGGCCGCGGGGGUUAGUCAUUAGCACGACAGGGCAGGGGAGGGCAGCUACCCACUGGAUCCAGAAGAAGUGCUUUGUUUUCCCAUAGCACUGUACCAUAUAGGCUCAACUCCAAGCAAGAACCUUGGGGGAUUAACUAGUGGUAUUUCCUCUGUCUGGGACAUGAUUGGCUUUCGCCUUGAUUAAGCAAAGUCAAAAGUGCUCUGUCCUCUGUGUCUCUCGCCCAUGGUUGCAACUAGUAGCAUAUUGUUUUAUGGCAGUUGUGUCUGGUCAUUGCUUUCACACUGCCUGGGCUGGGCCAACGGCUCGGGAAUCUGGAGCCUGCUUGUGUACCGCUGAUUCAACCGAAACUGGCGCACAUUGCGCCGGAUCAGCAGGCAGGCAGGCAGGUGUACCUGGUGCUGGAUAAAUAGAUGCAUAUGUUGUAUGGAAAUUGUGGUGAUUGAAUGGCAGAUGUUACUGCCAAGACGUAAAUCAAAAUUGUCUAUGUUU